ensembl:lncRNA
GUGAGGAGAUCACCAGUUAGCUCGGUAUUGCACUGCAUCCAGGCAGCAGCAAGAGGAUGUUGCAAGGAUGGAGGACCUGGUUGACAUGAAUGCUAAGGAAAGGUUACAGGUUUCAUAAGGAGGAAGGAAGAAAUACAGGGUGGCAGAGGUGUACUGAGCUAUCCAGAAACACCAUCGCUGAAAACCACCACACACAGGAGAGAAGAGAAGACACAUGCUUGGGCUGAUUGGAUGGCACUGCUAUGUAUUCUGCAAGAAGUAACAGCAGGGAAAGGAUACGAUAUUUUUGAUUCUUUGUUGUUUGCUUGGAACAUUUCAGUUCCUGAACUGUGACACAUAAACCUGCAGGACCAUGUAAAUACCAACUCGUUUUGAGGCAUCAACCAUUCAGACUAUGGACUGAAAGAACAAACACCCUGCACAAGCAGAGAUAGACAGCCUGUAUAGUAUAGUGGAUUAUCUGCUUUGCUCAGCAGCUUGAGGUUUUCCAUUGUGCCACCAUUAUCACAGAAAAACAACAGGAUGGCGUCCCCCUUCAGAAAAUGGGAAGAAAGUUUGCCUACACCUCCUCCAGUCUGUUCAUGACCCCCAACACUGCAAACCCUCAGCCUUACGCAGAACAGUUACAUGACUCCAGAGAAUGAACUAUAUCUAUCUACUAGUGGGAGCUGUGAAUCUUGACAUCACACAGAUUUCUGUUCCCUCUUACCAGAAGAGAAGUUCCCUUUCUUGGCUAUAGAGGAAGAAAAAAAGGUCUCAGAUGUUCCUUCCCUGGCCUAAAACUGGCUGAUUGUAGCUCACACUCCAAGGACAAAGUAUGUGAAAUUUAAGAUGGGUGGGAGUAUAGACCCACCAAAAUGUCCUCUCUUCUCUAUCACCAGCCUGCGUGGAAAUAAGACAAGACCAACACUGCAUUCUAGCGGAAUGUGUUGUGCAAACUCCUUCCAUCCAAGCAAGGGAACAGAGAGGCAUACUUUGCUCUUAGCUCCACGCAAAGUAGCACAUAUCCUUAUCAUAUCCUACCCAACAGGGGUGCUAAACCUGAGGCCUGAGCCUUUCAUCGGCCCUGCAGUCAGAAAACUCCAGCAGGCUGCACUGUCAGGAGCCUCUCCUUGCUGCACACUGUUUGCCCCUCUACGCAAGCCCAGCCUGAAGCUAUCUCAGCUGCUGGCAGCUGGGAGGUGCUGCGAAAGCAGUGGAUUUUAUUUCUGGGCUGGAGUCAACAAGUGUAAGCAAGGCCUAACACAAGGUGCUGAUGAAAGAGAAGAAUCAUAGAGGUGCUUUGCAGCACAGUACAGCCCCAGGAGAUGUUGCAUCAGGGGCAGAAGCUUGCAGGAGGCAGCUUUAACAGCAUUCUCUGGUAACAUGGGAGGAAACUGCUUCCAGCACAACCCUGACAAUCCAGGACACCUGGUCUUCUCAAACCUGCCUCUUUAUUUAACAUAAGCCCAGAACCCCACAGCACACCCACCUUGUGUAGGAGGAAGUUCUGUGACAUUUGGGGAAUUUUCUGCUCCAAGAAAUCUCAUAAUUAGCUGUCCAAACCAAGAUUAGGACUCAAUCUUAGUUUUCAGAAGAAAUAUACUGUCCAUGAAACUGUGUGGUUCUCGGCUACCCAAAGCAAUGGAGCACCAUAGAAAGCCACAUAGUACCCUUCAUUUUUAAAGAAAAUGGAUUGGUACUGAGUGGAAACUGAGCCAAUUUGUGUUCUCCUUUACAUACCUUGUAAUUAUGUUUGGAAUAAGUUGAAGUUAUACAGCUGUAUAUUGCUAAACAAACCAUAAUUUGUGUCAUUUGAGAUACCAUACAAAUAGACCCACCAAGCAAGUUCACUUUAUUAUUAAUAUUGUUUGUGGCACAGCUAAUCGUAGUGAGAUUCAGCUGUCUUAGCUUCAGGCAUUUGAUAUGGCUGUCUAGGCUUUUAAAGUCAAUGAAGGGAAACAGAUGCUUGUACAAUACAUCCCAUUUCCAUCAUAAUACAGACACCUCCACUAGACCAGAUAACUCAUGCUUUUUGUUUCUGGAUAUCAUUGGAGUUGAGAUAGCUUGCUCAGAAAUAAAUGUCUGUGCCUUUGCUGUAGAUACCUACA